rnacentral:lncRNA from 1 species
GGGGGGGGGGAGGGAGGGACCGCGGCCGGGACGCCCGUAAAAAACAAAGUCCAGGUCUCACAGAGACAUUACACGGGGCCGGGGCCGGGGGGGGCGCUUACAGCUCGUCCUUGGGGGCCCCCCCGGCCUCCUCCUCCUUCUCAGCCUCGUCCUCUUCGUCCUCUUCGUCCUCCUCGUCGUCCCCGUCGCCGUCCUCGUCCCCCUCCUCCUCUUUCCUCUGCUUGUCCUCCUCUUCCUGCUUCUGGCGCUGCUCUUCGUCCUGCUGCUCCUUCAUCUUCCUCUCAGCCUCCUUGGUGGCCCCCCAGGUCUCGUUGCCAAACUCCUCAGCAAACUUCUCAUCAUCGGUGAUAAGGAAGUUGUCAAAGAUGGUUCCAGAUUUCACCU